rnacentral:rRNA from 1 species
AUUGAACGCUGGCGACAUGCCUUACACAUGCAAGUCGAACGGCAGCACGGGUGCUUGCCCCUGGUGGCGAGUGGCGAACGGGUGAGUAAUACAUCGGAACAUGUCCUGUAGUGGGGGAUAGCCCGGCGAAAGCCGGAUUAAUACCGCAUACGAUCUACGGAUGAAAGCGGGGGACCUUCGGGCCUCGCGCUAUAGGGUUGGCCGAUGGCUGAUUAGCUAGUUGGUGGGGUAAUGGCCUACCAAGGCGACGAUCAGUAGCUGGUCUGAGAGGACGACCAGCCACACUGGGACUGAGACACGGCCCAGACUCCUACGGGAGGCAGCAGUGGGGAAUUUUGGACAAUGGGCGAAAGCCUGAUCCAGCAAUGCCGCGUGUGUGAAGAAGGCCUUCGGGUUGUAAAGCACUUUUGUCCGGAAAGAAAUCCUUGGCCCUAAUACGGUCGGGGGAUGACGGUACCGGAAGAAUAAGCACCGGCUAACUACGUG